UACUAGAGUAGCACUCGCAUAUCAAUAAGCGGAGGAAAAGAAACUAACAAGGAUUCCCCUAGUAACGGCGAGUGAAGCGGGAAGAGCUCAAAUUUGAAAUCUUAAAGGGUUUCCCUUUACGAAUUGUAGUUUAAAGAAGUGUUUUCUGUUGAGGUUUUGGUAAAAGUUCUUUGGAAUAGGACAUCAUAGAGGGUGAGAAUCUCGUAUUUGACCUUUACUUUCAACUUUGUGAUACACUUUCAAAGAGUCGGAUUGUUUGGGAAUGCAGUCCAAAAUGGGUGGUAAAUUUCAUCUAAAGCUAAAUAUUGGCGAGAGACCGAUAGCGAACAAGUACCGUGAGGGAAAGAUGAAAAGAACUUUGAAAAGAGAGUUAAACAGUACGUGAAAUUGUCAAAAGGGAAGCGUUUGACACCAGUGUUGUUUUUCUGAAAAUCAAUUAAAGAACUGUUUAUGCUAAGUUGUUUAGACUUUAUCAGCUAACUGUUUAGUUUUGAGCUUUUCUUUAAUGCACUUUUCAGUUAACAAGUCAACAUCAAUUUCUUUUGCUGUAAAAAAGCUUGAGGAAGGUGGCUUGAGAUUCGUCUUAAGUGUUUAUAGCCUCUUGCCUAUGCAGUCGGAGAGAUUGAGGUCUGCAGCGUAGAUCCUUCGGGGCUAAAUGCAUUUGUGCUAAGUUAUAGCAUUUUAUAGACAACUUGUUGACUAUGAUUUGUCUUGUAGCUUACUCGCUUAUGUUAUUUUACCUACGCUUAGGAUGUUGAGCGCAUGUCUCUCUCU
rnacentral:rRNA from 1 species